rnacentral:tRNA from 1 species
UGUACUGUGGCUUAGUUGGUUAAAGCGCCGGUUUGGCGAAUACGGAUUCAUGGGUUCAAAUCCCACCAGAAUGC